rnacentral:rRNA from 1 species
AUUGAACGCUGGCGGCAUGCCUUACACAUGCAAGUCGAACGGUAACAGGUCUUCGGAUGCUGACGAGUGGCGAACGGGUGAGUAAUACAUCGGAACGUGCCCGAGAGUGGGGGAUAACGAGGCGAAAGCUUUGCUAAUACCGCAUACGAUCUCAGGAUGAAAGCAGGGGACCGCAAGGCCUUGCGCUCACGGAGCGGCCGAUGGCAGAUUAGGUAGUUGGUGGGAUAAAAGCUUACCAAGCCGACGAUCUGUAGCUGGUCUGAGAGGACGACCAGCCACACUGGGACUGAGACACGGCCAGACUCCUACGGGAGGCAGCAGUGGGGAAUUUUGGACAAUGGGCGCAAGCCUGAUCCAGCCAUGCCGCGUGCAGGAUGAAGGCCUUCGGGUUGUAAACUGCUUUUGUACGGAACGAAAAGACUUCUUCUAAUAAAGGGGGUCCAUGACGGUACCGUAAGAAUAAGCACCGGCUAACUACGUGCCAGCCGCCGCCGUAAAAC